UACGUAGGGGGCAAGCGUUGUCCGGAUUUACUGGGCGUAAAGAGCGCGCAGGCGGUCGGAUAAGUCGAAUGUGAAAGCCCCCGGCUCAACUGGGGAGGGUCAUUCGAUACUGUUCGACUCGAAGGCAGGAGAGGGAAGCGGAAUUCCCGGUGUAGUGGUGAAAUGCGUAGAUAUCGGGAGGAACACCAGUGGCGAAGGCGGCUUUCUGGCCUGUUCUUGACGCUGAGGCGCGAAAGCCAGGGGAGCAAACGGG
rnacentral:rRNA from 1 species